UUCCUGCAGAUCCGGUCCUGAGUACGAGCAAUGGCGCCCUUCAGGGUUAAGACCCAGCCCGGAUCCCACAGCCCAGGAGCCAGCAAGAAGUGUUCCCUUUCCAGGAGUUGGCUCCUUAUGCACACUCAGCAGUCCUGGUGACCAGUGUAAUAUUUCACACAGGAAGCCAUCCUACUGACAUUCCAGGAGGACAUGAAGUGAUAUUUUCAGAGACCUGACGCCUCUAUACCAGGAAGUUCCCAGCGCUUUAUAGGCUGGGCUUCCUCUUCAGGGGAGAGGACUUGAGAAUCUGUAGUGAAAGGAGAGAGGCUGAAGAACUGCUCCCCAGGACUCUGUGAUGAAUCUUCUUGCAUGGUGCUCAGAGGGCUCUUUGGAUCUCUGGACUUCUCAAGAUUCUGCUAAGGUCUGUAUUAUAUCUUAUGCAUGGGAAGGUUGUAGUUACUCUUGA